CACGUAGGGUGCGAGCGUUGUCCGGAAUUAUUGGGCGUAAAGAGCUCGUAGGCGGUGUGUCGCGUCGGCCGUGAAAACCUGCAGCUUAACUGUGGGCUUGCGGUCGAUACGGGCAUCACUGGAGUUCGGCAGGGGAGACUGGAAUUCCUGGUGUAGCGGUGAAAUGCGCAGAUAUCAGGAGGAACACCGUUGGCGAAGGCGGGUCUCUGGACCGAGACUGACGCUGAGGCGCGAAAGCGUGGGGAGCAAACAGG
rnacentral:rRNA from 1 species